UUCACACCAGAUUGAUAAAAUUAAUAAUGUAAGACCAUCAUUAACGCUGGGUUUUAGCUGGACUCUUAAGCCUAAAAUAUAAUUAAAAAAUUAAAAAAAAAAAAUUGGGUAAGAGUUGGGUUCUUUGAAGCCCUACGGAGGAGGCGCCUCUUGCGACUAUUUUUCUUCUCUCUCUUCUUUUUCCACGGUGAAUCGUUUUUUCUCAGACCAAAUUCAGUCAAAAUCAGCUUUGAGAGAGAGAUCUAUUCUUGUUCUUCGCCUCUAUGGCCGUGUUUGCGUAGCCGGCCAAGCAAAGCUCCCAUCAGACCCCAUAGCCGAAGAAGUAAGAACGAAGAAGAAGCCAUGGCAGGAGUAGGACCGAUGACUCAGGAUUGGGAGCCCGUGGUGAUCCGUAAGCGGCUUCAAGCGGCACCUCCUUGAACACCAAGAGGCUUGAUGAUGACACUGAGAACUUAGAUGAAUGUGUGCCUACUGAGUUGAAGAAAUCAAUCAUGCAAGCCCGAGGGGAGAAGAAGCUCACCCAGUCCCAAUUCGCUCAAGUACACUACUUUCUCUCUUCACUCUGUUUCUCUAGUUUUCUGUAAUUGGAUUCAUGGCGGUAAUAUGAAGAUGUGUUGGUUGUGUAGCUGAUUUAUAUUUUUUUUUAAGAACCUUUAAUUGAGUU